rnacentral:lncRNA from 1 species
CAUUCAUCUAUCAAUCCAACCAUUUCAACGAAUAUCUUAAAAAACUAGAUUUGAUACAGAUUCAUUGGUCCUUGUUGACAUAGUUAUCAGACCCAACCCAGAUAUCGACCCGGACAAUGUAAUGGGUCAAUGGGUCAGUGGUUUAACCGACGGGUCAAUUCCUAUAAAAAAAUAUUAUUCUCUAAUAUUGCGCCAAUCACCUUCUAAAACAAUAUAUACUACUAUCCAAUUCACCUUCUAAAACAAUACUACUUUCAAGGACAUUGGCAAAAUAUGGUUACACAUGAACUUUAUAGCAUGUCAAAUGCUUGAUCAAUGGAACAGAAUUACAUGGGCCAACAAAAAUUUGAAACACAAAACAACAAUUUAAUAUAUCAUAAUGCACAUCACAUCCUUGGAAAAUUUCCCAAAACACUGACAUCUGUCACAAUUUACAAAUACAUAAAUUAUAAAGCAGAGCAAUUAUCCAAGAAUAAUCUUCAUUAAUAUUCUUGAAAAUUUAAACAGUUAAGGGUAAAAAAUCAUAUGUUGAAGGGUGCGUUCACGCAUCAUAUACAAGACCAAAUAAAAAAAGUUAUCAUGCACAAGAGUGGCUCAUUAUCUGUAGCAAAAUAUCAAUCAAAACCAAUAACAAGCCUCAUAAAGGCAUCGUAGUGAUUAGUGAAUCACAUGAAAUGGAUUACUAAACCAGAAUCCCAUACAAUGAAUUCACUUGGCAGAGAAUAAGUAAAAACGCUUAAAGAAACUUCAUCCAUUAAUCUUUAUCCAAAAAGAUGCAAAAUAAAUGACAGGUUCAUCCAUUUUUUCUCAAGUGCAUUUGUCACAAGGAGCAUCUGUCCAUUUUCCAUUUACAAACAUUCAUUAUUGCUAUCCCAUAUUUUGCCUUGUAAUUUUCCUGCUUCCAUUUAGCCAGAGCUUUCAUUUCAGAUUCAAGAACCAAGAAUUUCCAGAAGAUAUAUGUGUGUUGGGAGGAAAGUGUGUGCAUUGUUCAUGUGUCGUCUGUGAACUAAAUCAAAUUAUCCUUAGAUCACAACAGGAAAUUGAAAUCUAUCCGUUAAACAUGGAAAUCGAUAAUCAGAAAAGUCUCAUUUACUUGAAUCUUUCACAUUGAGUGCCAAAAAGAAAUUAAAUAAAAGGCAUAUCUCAGGAAAAAGACUCUAAGAUACUUUAUUGUCUUUCCACGAUUAACCACAUGACCAAGAUACUAAAAGGAUCUUGAAAUUAAGAAUUUAUGAUAACGGAGCAAAACAAAUCUAAUAAACAUACAUUUCAAGAACAAAAAUCUAAGGGGGGAAAAACUAAACUCCAGAUGAAUUUUUAUUGUAUAUUGUCCUGAAAUUAUCAUCCACUAAGCACAAAAAAAAUUAACUUGAAAAAUAUAAAUAGAAUGCUCUCUCAAAAUGAACUGUCCCAACCUGUUCGUCCAUAUUGAGUCCAAAUUGCUAUGACCUAUGUGUGCAAAAGCUUCCUCAUGAUGAGGCGGUGGUAGGGGAGGUGGAACGCCAUUGUGGUUUGCAUCGCCGGCAUCGAAAUUUGGGUUUGAAAUAUCCAGUUUUGCGGUAGACGAAAUUUGCUAUGAAUUUGGAUUUUCAGCUUUGUUUGAUGUUAUAAACACAUCAUUAGGAGUGUAAUUAGGUGCUUGGUCGACCUGGAUGAUGGGCAUAGUCUGGGAGUCGCCGGAAGUGGAGAUUCUGGCCAUUUUUAAGUGCGUCGGCAGGCUUUUUUGGGCGAUUUUCACUAGAUUUCUACCAGAGUUAAGGCCAGUGAUUGGGUGGGUAGUGAAGAGGGAAGUGUGGGCUUCAAGUUGGUAUGAAGAUCCGGCGGCCAUGGUGGCCGGAGAUUGGAUUAUUGGGAUCCAUAAUUGGUGGCUCAAAAAUCCCAAAAGACAGAAGAGUUUGGAAAUGAAAUAGAGGGAGGGCGGCAGUUUAUUUUUGGAGGAAAUGAACUAUUUG